CAACCUCACAUCUUUUCUCUGACUAUACACGAGGUAGAUAGCGUGUGUAGCAGGAAAGAAAACCACUCAGAAUGUGCGAAACUCUAUGUAUACAGAAUAUUAAGCUUCCAACACGUUACAGAAAUUUGACUAAACCGGGGCUUGUCUUGCAGAAAGUUUUUCGAAGAACAAAGCACGAUUCUUCAGGGCGUGGUCCUUGAGGAUUCGGUGUAUCCCUCGCAGUAAUAGACAAUCGGACGUUCCGCUUUUGUCUUAGUUGUCAAUCCUGUACUUAAAUUCAUCAUCGAAUCCAACAUUUCAGAAAGGCAGAGAUUGCCUCUGAAAACUUUUUUUAGCUUUGCGAAUCCUCCUACUUCGGAAACCAUACAUUCAAAGAUUUGGUCAUUGCUGCUCAGGAAAUGUCAGAAGAAAUGUCAGAAGAAAUGUCGAAAUCGGCAGAAAGCAGCCAGCAAUCAGCAACUGAACCAUCAGCGACCGACUUGAUGCACCCGGAGGUCGCGCAGAUGAUACACGGCGAAGGCUAUAAACCCAAACCCCUCCCCUCCUGGCGCAAGUGCCCUCUAAUCCAAGCAUCCCGCCUAGCCGAGUUCAGACCCAUCCCGAACCAUACGACCCCCAAGAUCCUCCAACUGCCAGAGCACAUCCGAGCGACACUCAACGGUUGCAAGGUAUUCCAGCCCCAGCAGAUCGCCGAGUACAACCGCAUACUAGAGUGGGACGGCAAGCUUGUGAGCGGCGUGGAUCACAUGGUGGCCAGGAAUCCGGUGAAACCUGGGCGCUUAUACCACAAAUUCGACUCGCUGUGCGCAUUGGCCACGUCCAGAGCAGGGCGCCUCUUGGUCAUACAGCAUCGAGAGCUGAAUCAUGUGUUCUACGCCAUUUGCUACGACCCCGCGCACAAGCCUUACAUCGACUGGCUCAACAUGUACGAGCGCCGCUGGUACGCUCUAUCGGUGAGCUACGGGAAGUAGCGGCAGAGGUCGCAUGUGGUUGCUUCGAAGAUUCGUCGGUUAACGAUUACCGACCACAGAUGCGUGUCAACGAUUACCGACACCGGAUGAAGAAGCCUGGGAAUGAAGGAAGCAUUGGAAGGGGACACGAGGGAUGGGCAUGAAGGCCAUGAUUGUAAUAAUAGUUUUUGGAGAUGAUUUAUUCUAUAAUGAUAGUUAUAAUAGGGUGGGUCAUUUUAACAUUUAUAUAUAUAUAAUAUAUAUAACUAAUUAAAAAUAAUAAAAUAAAUCACAUAAUUAUAUAAUACAAUAAGUUUUUAAAAAAUAUUAUUAAGAAUCACAAAUAUACAUUUUAAAAACUUUGGUUGAUAUACUUUUGUAAUAUACUUAAAAACCUUUAUACAUUAUUCAAAAAUAAAAUUUAAAGACCUUAAUUCAAAAUAAAUAACCUAGAAAGAAAGUUUUAAAAUAGUAACAAGAAAAUACCUCUAUCUCAAUAAGCUUUUUCUACAAUUAGAUAAAAAUCAAAAAUCAAAAACUACAUCUCUAAAUAUUUACUUAUUUUUAAAACAUGUAAAAACAAUUCACAAAAGGUGUCUUUGAAGUAUCACACUAAUUAGAAAUAGUAGAUAUUUUUUAUAGCUUGAUGUAAGCAAACGUUCUAAGAAAUGCCUACACUAGUUGAUGAAAUCAGAUUAUUGUUCUACAUUAGUAAUUAUUAAGCAAUGUCUCACUU